GUCUAAGGUUGGGCCACUCGUGUACACCUGUAUUCCUGGCCAAAAUACGAAUCAAAGACUCCUCUAUUUGUGAAUGUGGUUUAGACGAAGGCACCCCAGAACAUAUAUUUUUUUCUUGUCCUAAAUUACGAUUCUCUUUGUAUGAUGCUCUUCCCCCUGAGAUUCCACGUCCUACUGACCUAAAAUCCUUAUUAAUGUGUGUUUUCUCCCCGUUUAUUACUUCUUUAUGCACUUUCAUUGAAACUAACAAUAUAAAACUAUAACGGGAUGGAGAUAUCUAACAAAAGUUAACUAUUCCAAGUAAACUUGUGCGGGAAUUGGAACCGAACUUGUACUCCCACUAUAACUCCAAAUAAAGCAAAGUUUAAAUACUCUGAUAUUGGCAAAUCCGCAAGGGAGCCAUUGCAAGAAUAAUAAUAAUAAUAGAA